GCUCGGUAGCGAUGAAAAAUGCGACGGAUGGCCGAUAGAGUCACAUAGGUUAGUUUAGAACCUUUUAUCAAGUGUGUCCGUCAUUAUUUAUAUUUAGAAUAUUGGGUUUAGGCGGGAUUAUUUUUUUGAGCCAUUUUACUCCUAAGUCUUAGGGUUUCUUAACCUUUAAGUAAGAGACAAUUUUGGAAUUACCCAAGAGGUUUUAAAUUUGUCUUAUAGUGGGAUUGUAAAUAAAUUUAUUUAGUUUAUUUAAGCUCAAGUUAAUGAAUUAGGAUAAACAUUAAGAAAAUAAAGCAUACACAUAUAGCUCUCUCUCUCUCUCUCUCUCUCUCUCUCUCUCUCUCUCUCUCUCUCUCUCUCUCUCUCUCUCUCUCUCUCUCUCUCUCUCUCUCUCUCUCCGGAGAAAACAACCAUUUUCUUCAAGCAAUUCUCAGGGAUUUAGCAAGAAUUCAAGGAAAUUUUAAGAAUUAAGCCAAGGGCCUCCGUUCAGCACGUGAAUUUCCAUUAAGGUUGACUAGCACACUUGAAUCAUGAAACGUGGGGCCUGUAAAUCGUCGAGCAGCGGUUCCACUCAACUUGGCCGGCACACCUGAAUUCAAAAGUGAGGUAAGGGCAAAGCAAAGAUUGAGCAGCUGUGAGAGCGAGCAGAUGAAGAUUGUACAUGUCGGGGCGGUUGGACCUGGACCGUACAAUCUUUGGGACAGCUGGUUGUAUUUUUUCUAGUCGCUAGGCGAAAACUUUUGUAUUACGCACUGUGUAACAGUUGUAAAUAUUUUGUAAAUGGAAUCUGAAUUAUAUAUAUGUUAUUUAUUUUAGUAUUUAUAAGUAAUUAAAUAAAGUUUUAAUUA